GACGAACGCUGGCGGCGUGCUUAACACAUGCAAGUCGAACGGAAAGGCCCUGCUUUUGUGGGGUGCUCGAGUGGCGAACGGGUGAGUAACACGUGAGUAACCUGCCCUUGACUUUGGGAUAACUUCAGGAAACUGGGGCUAAUACCGGAUAGGAGCUCCUGCUGCAUGGUGGGGGUUGGAAAGUUUCGGCGGUUGGGGAUGGACUCGCGGCUUAUCAGCUUGUUGGUGGGGUAGUGGCUUACCAAGGCUUUGACGGGUAGCCGGCCUGAGAGGGUGACCGGCCACAUUGGGACUGAGAUACGGCCCAGACUCCUACGGGAGGCAGCAGUGGGGAAUAUUGCACAAUGGGCGGAAGCCUAAUGCAGCAACGCCGCGUGCGGGAUGACGGCCUUCGGGUUGUAAACCGCUUUCGCCUGUGACGAAGCGUGAGUGACGGUAAUGGGUAAAGAAGCACCGGCUAACCACGUG
rnacentral:rRNA from 1 species